GGCUCGUUGGUCUAGGGGUAUGUUUCUCGCUUAGGGUGCGAGAGGUCCCGGGUUCAAUUCCCGGACGAGCCC
rnacentral:tRNA from 1 species